rnacentral:misc_RNA from 1 species
AAAUCUCAACCUCCUCGGUUUCUUUUGGACGCCGAAGGAGGCUUGGACUUUGGAGGGCUUUUGCUGGACUUCAAAAGGCCAGCUCCUCUCAAAUGAAUUAGCGAGGUCCCCUUUGCCGAUCCUCGACGUGUGAUAAGAUGCUUCCACGUCUCGGUCUUUGGCUCUGUCGCCUCUUGGGACCUGCUUCCAAUCGUCUCUCUACGAGACAACGUUCGAGCUUGCCUCGACCACGUAC